rnacentral:tRNA from 1 species
GCCCUCGUAGCUCAGUGGAUAGAGCAUCGGCCUCCGGAGCCGUGUGCACAGGUUCGAAUCCUGUCGAGGGCGCCA